AUGAUGAGAGGGAACUCAGGGGACAGAUGCCCGCCACCUGGCUCACUGA
rnacentral:snoRNA from 1 species